GAUAAACGCUGGCGGCGUGCCUUAUGCAUGCAAGUCGUACGUGAGACCGGCUUCGGCCGGUUGAAAGUGGCGAACGGGUGAGUAACACGUAGGAACCUGCCCGGCAGUGGGGGAUAACUCCGCGAAAGCGGGGCUAAUACCGCAUGUGGUCGCAAGACCAAAGCUUCGGCGCUUCCGGAGGGGCCUGCGGCGGAUUAGCUAGUUGGUGGGGUAACGGCCUACCAAGGCGACGAUCCGUAGCUGGUCUGAGAGGAUGGUCAGCCACACUGGAACUGGGACACGGUCCAGAAUCGUACGGGAGGCAGCAGAGAGGAAUUUGGCGCAGUGGGCGAAAGCCUGACGCAGCAACGCCGGGUGGGGGAAGAAGGCCUUCGGGUUGUAAACCCCUUUUGCGAGGGAAGAAGAUCUGACGGUACCUCGCGAAUAAGCCACGGCUAACUACGUGCCAGCCGCCGCCGUAA
rnacentral:rRNA from 1 species